UACGUAGGGGGCAAGCGUUGUCCGGAUUUACUGGGCGUAAAGGGCUCGUAGGCGGCCAACUAAGUCAGACGUGAAAUCCCUCGGCUUAACCGGGGAACUGCAUCUGAUACUGGAUGGCUUGAGUUCGGGAGAGGGAUGCGGAAUUCCAGGUGUAGCGGUGAAAUGCGUAGAUAUCUGGAGGAACACCGGUGGCGAAGGCGGCAUCCUGGACCGACACUGACGCUGAGGAGCGAAAGCCAGGGGAGCAAACGGG
rnacentral:rRNA from 1 species